GUGCCAGCCGCCGCGGUAAUACGGAGGGUGCGAGCGUUAAUCGGAAUUACUGGGCGUAAAGGGCACGCAGGCGGUUAAUUAAGUUGGAUGUGAAAUCCCCGGGCUUAACCUGGGAAUGGCAUUCAAGACUGGUUAGCUAGAGUCUUGUAGAGGGGGGUAGAAUUCCAUGUGUAGCGGUGAAAUGCGUAGAGAUGUGGAGGAAUACCGGUGGCGAAGGCGGCCCCCUGGACAAAGACUGACGCUCAUGUGCGAAAGCGUGGGGAGCAAACAGGAUUAGAUACCCUGGUAGUCCACGCUGUAAACGAUGUCGAUUUGGAGGUUGUGGUCAAGAACUGUGGCCUCCGGAGCUAACGCGUUAAAUCGACCGCCUGGGGAGUACGGCCGCAAGGUUAAAACUUAAAUGAAUUGACGG
rnacentral:rRNA from 1 species